GUGCUCACUUCUGCAGUAUGUAUGCCAAAAUAGAAACAAUACAGAGAUUAGCAUGGCCUGCCCGAGGAUGACACAGUUCAUGAAGCAUUCCAUUUAAAAUUA